UACGGAGGGUGCAAACGUUGCUCGGAAUCAUUGGGCGUAAAGCGCACGUAGGCGGCCUGUUAAGUCGGGUGUGAAAUCCCUGGGCUCAACCCAGGAACUGCGUCCGAUACUGGGAGGCUUGAAUCCGGGAGAGGGAUGCGGAAUUCCAGGUGUAGCGGUGAAAUGCGUAGAUAUCUGGAGGAACACCGGUGGCGAAGGCGGCAUCCUGGACCGGCAUUGACGCUGAGGCGCGAAAGCCAGGGGAGCAAAGCGGG
rnacentral:rRNA from 1 species